rnacentral:rRNA from 1 species
UCGACGAUGAACCACUUCGGUGGGGAUUAGUGGCGAACGGGUGAGUAACACGUGGGCAAUCUGCCCUGCACUCUGGGACAAGCCCUGGAAACGGGGUCUAAUACCGGAUACUGACCCGCUUGGGCAUCCAAGCGGUUCGAAAGCUCCGGCGGUGCAGGAUGAGCCCGCGGCCUAUCAGCUUGUUGGUGAGGUAAUGGCUCACCAAGGCGACGACGGGUAGCCGGCCUGAGAGGGCGACCGGCCACACUGGGACUGAGACACGGCCCAGACUCCUACGGGAGGCAGCAGUGGGGAAUAUUGCACAAUGGGCGAAAGCCUGAUGCAGCGACGCCGCGUGAGGGAUGACGGCCUUCGGGUUGUAAACCUCUUUCAGCAGGGAAGAAGCGAAAGUGACGGUACCUGCAGAAGAAGCGCCGGCUAACUACGUGCCAGCAGCCGCGGUAAUACGUAGGGCGCGAGCGUUGUCCGGAAUUAUUGGGCGUAAAGAGCUCGUAGGCGGCUUGUCACGUCGGUUGUGAAAGCCCGGGGCUUAACCCCGGGUCUGCAGUCGAUACGGGCAGGCUAGAGUUCGGUAGGGGAGAUCGGAAUUCCUGGUGUAGCGGUGAAAUGCGCAGAUAUCAGGAGGAACACCGGUGGCGAAGGCGGAUCUCUGGGCCGAUACUGACGCUGAGGAGCGAAAGCGUGGGGAGCGAACAGGAUUAGAUACCCUGGUAGUCCACGCCGUAAACGGUGGGCA